rnacentral:rRNA from 1 species
UGCCGGCGACCGGCGCACGGGUGAGUAACACGUAUGCGACCUGCCCCCCGCACGGGGGAUAACCGGGAGAAAUCCGACUAAUACCGCGUAACGCCGCGGACCUGCAUGGGUCUGCGGCCAAAGGAAGCGAUUCCGGCGGGGGAUGGGCAUGCGGCGCAUUAGCUAGUCGGCGGGGUAACGGCCCACCGAGGCGACGAUGCGUAGGGGUUCUGAGAGGAAGGCCCCCCACACUGGUACUGAGACACGGACCAGACUCCUACGGAAGGCAGCAG